rnacentral:rRNA from 1 species
AUCUGGGCGGCGGAAUUCAGGAUGGUUGCCGCGUUUUCGCGCGUCGGCCGUUUGAUAUUUCCGUCGCCGAUAACCCGCAGACGUCGCGACCUGUUCACGGUCGGUCCCUGCUCCGAGGAGCCGCGUUCGAGCUCGUUGCGUGUCGCGUUUCGGCGUGUCACGCGGCGAAGGCGCGGAUCUCUGGCUGGCCGUCGGACAGUAUGCUCAACGGUGUCCGGUGUCGCUUCCGCGCGUGCACCGGUACCGGUCAGCGACGAAUUCUUCGGGCCUCUUUCCGACCCGUCUUGAAACACGGACCAAGGAGUCUAACAUGCGCGCGAGUCGCGGGGUGUCGAGCGUACUUCGGUACGUUCGUUACGUUGCGAAACCCGUACAUGUCGAAGGCGUAAUGAAAGUGAAUGGGGAAGAUGGUGUUCCGAGUACACGUUCCGCGAUCGUCGGUAUCGCGGCCGGACACCCGCAUUCCCGGGGCGUCUCAACGGCCCGUCGCUGAUGCGGACAGUCGUCUUUCGGGGCGGCUGUCGGUCGGCGACGAACCGA